rnacentral:tRNA from 1 species
GCCUGGGUGGCUCAGUGGAUUGGGCAUCCGACUUCAGUUCUGGUCAUGAUCUCACAGUCUGUGGGUUCAAGCCCCACGUCAGGCU